CAGCCCACGGUUGCAAACGCUUCCCCAGGCUCAUCUCAACGCUCCAGCCUCAGUCUCCUGUCACUUCGGGCUCCCUUUGCCCUCCUCUUCAGCAGCUCUCUUCAAGGGCCAGAUUUGAUGUGGGCGUCAUGGAGAGAGCCACCUUCAACAGUCAAGCUUUGUCACAACUCCUGAGUUUAGAAGUUUCAGUCCGUCCGGGAUCUUGACUUCACUGCUUUUGUCCCCCACCCUCACCCCCACCCCGGAAAGGUUAUCUCACCCUGGCAGCAGCGUAUCAUGUGACAAGAACCUGAUGACCAGAAAGCAGUGCAGAAGACACAGGAAGAGGAGAGGCUAGUGUCACCAAACCCCCUCUAAGGACACACCUCCAAUGACCCAAGACCCACCACUAGACCCUGACUCUUAAAUGUACCACCGCCAUCUCCCGAUAGUACCAAGCUGGUGGGGACGAACUGUGGAGGACUGUCAAGACCUGAACCGUGAGGCCGCGUGGACUGAGACAGUGCCUGCUGUUUGUCAGGUGGAAUUAAGUAUCGCCUCCAAUCACACUAAACGCCCUGCCCUGCCUUUGCACACAGUUUGAUAGAAGUAGCAGCCUUCGAGGAACUGGUGUGGGCUAAGGAGAGGCACCGUACUCCCGGCAGACAGAGCCCUUCUCUCAACCCCUACAAAGCACCUGCUGCCCCCCUAUACCCCCAUACCCUGCCUGGGAUACCCCAACUGUCCUGCCGCUUACCACUGUAGCCUCGGGCCCUCUGCCGUCCUCUGUGCCUGGCCGGGCCGCCUCUUAGGGCCUCCUGUAAUUAACCAGGAGUAUUUCAGACCCGUAUUUUGAUUCAUCUCACAGAUUGAUUUUCUAAAUUAUGUGUCAGCAUGAAGGUGUUUAAAAAAAAAAAACCACUUAACUCAGCAGCAAUUAACUGCAAAGCUUUUAAAGCUUAGUUUUCAUCUCACAGGUCUUUGAGAGCCAGAAAUGAUAUCAGUAGCUGUGAAAUCAAGUUGUGUUUAAUCCCCGGCUAAAACGGCAACAAAUGGCGUGAGUGAUCUUAUUACUAAGGCGACAUUUGUUAAACUUUCCCUUUUCUGUUGCACUUCUAGCUGCCAACAUUUCUUACACACACACACACACACACACACACACACACACACACACACACACACACGUGUUUACUACAAAUGAAAAUAUAUUGGGGUAAAAUUUAGCUAGAAUGGGCAUUGCUCAUAAGGAGUUAUUGAAGAGAGUGGUCAAGAUCUCUGAGCUCUUCUAGAAUGUCAGCACAUAGUUUUGGACAAUGCUUAGGUAUAGGGCAAUUUAGCAGCUGUAGUGGAAGUUUUCCGGUGUCCCGCCCAGUCCUGCAGCUGCUCAGACCCAAGUAAACACACAGAGGCUUACAUCAAUUACGAAUUGCAUGGCCAUGGCCUAUGGCUCAAUUUUAUUGCUAGCUAGCUCUGUAACUAAACUCAGUCUAUUUCUAUUAAUCUUUAUGUCGCCACAUGUUCUGUGACAUUACCUGUGUGCCAUUACAUGCUGCUCCCUGGAUGGUGGGAUGGUGUCUCCUCCGCCUCUGCCUUUCUUCUUCCUUUCUCUCUCUUCAGUUUCCCGCCUAGCUAUGACCUGACUUGCCAUAGGCCAAAUGGCUUUUUUUAUCAACCAAUCAGAGCAGCACAUAUUCACAGCAGACAGAAAGCUCUCCCACAGCAAGUAACAUCUGCCAGGCAUUUUCCAAGGAGGCUAGGCCUCUGAAAAUAUGGCCAUCAGAAAUGUGACUCUCAGACAUUUGAAAACUUCUCUGUCUACUCAGAGAGGCCCAGUUAGCAAGAAGCCAAUUAUUUUCAGCAACACAAAGCAUUUGAUACCACUUUUGGGUCAGAGCCCGGGGGCGUGUUGUACCCCAGGAUGAGGUGAGAGAUCUACUAGUAAAAGUGCAAGUCAAGGAUGACUGGGAUGCCUGAGGCCGGAGGACUGUCCUCCAUCGCCUCAUCUCACAGGAAUUUGGAGGCUGAGACCUGACAAAAAAUGUCCCCUGCAUGGUCUCCCACCUGCCAGGCACCAAGCAGGCUCACAGAGCUUUCUGCUCCCAUGGCCUCUCUCAAGUUGUCUUUGUGCUAACCUUAAUCUCAUUUCUCAUUCCUCUAACAGGUGAGGAGUCGGGGGAACAGUCACUCUUUAUGAUUGACCAUCAUUCUGAGGCUCCCUUGUCCCUUCGAGCUCACACUCCUAAACUCCCUUGGCCUCAUAUUUUGUUCUGUUAGAUAUACACCAUUAUAAAUCAAUGUGGUUUCCUUUUCGGCUCGACUAGCAGGAACCACAGAACCCACAUGCUCUGCUUUAACGUGAUAGAGCUCACAGCAGCUCACCUUUUCCACCAUCUUUGUCUUACUUUGUCUCCUGUCUCGUGCUCAUGACAGGGAUCUUGACUAUUACCUUUUAAACACUCCUUAUGAGCCAUUCCCAUUCCAGCUAAAUAAUAACACAAUAUUAGUAUUUGUUCUUCCAUCGUUCCUUGCGUAUAAUUUUUACAGCAAGUCACGAGAGAGAGAGAGAGAGAGAGAGAGAGAGAGAGAGAGAGAGAGAGAGAGAGAAACAAUAUUUAUAGAGAACAAAAUCACCUUUAAAUUAUUGAUUUUUUCCAUUUUGGAAUAGCCCAGCCUCUGAGACCUCCCUGUGUGGACGUCCUAAUUGAGCAGUGUGGAUCUGGGGGUGGCGCUCUUCAGUGAGGUGAUUAGCAUGGCACACCAAAGAUCAUAACACCUCCACACCAAAACCCCACUCCCUGAGAGUCAAGCUGCCUCUGCCUCCCGAGGAGAGCUCUCCAUCUUAGCAAUGAUGAUGGUGCUCGCUCCUCUCUGUUACCCUCUUGUUAUGAGGAUCAAUGGGACAGCGUCUAUGGACUGUUGGAUCUCCUUGGGGGACAAGGCUCUGUAGCUGUAAUUAUCUUUAUUGACAGCAACACAGAGCUGUGGCAGGCUUUUCCUGGUACAAUUCCUCAUCGUCCUGCUUGUCCCGGCUUCUCAGGGGCUACUGGAGCAGGUGAUAGGUUCCACACACUGGCUUUGUCCUGCUGUCAGAGAACAUGCUUAACCUCCGCACCAAUAAAGGACCAAAGCUCUGUACAAAGGAGUGCUCACGUGUAGAAAGGGUCGAAGAAGGCUGGGAAGAACAAACCGUCACCAUGGCCAGUAAAGAAACUCCUGAUCUUGUGAGGGUCUCUCCCGAGCAGGCGCGGCUGCUCUGAUCUUAAGACAGCCAUGGCUGUGUCGUUCCCAGGGGACAUCAUUCUACGGCAUCACAGCAUAGGCCGUACAGGCCUCAGAUCACUGGAGCUAGUCUGCGGGAAGAUAAUCCCUUCCCUGGGUGACAAUGCUUGCCUGGGAUUCUGUUCGUUAUGCUGGCAAAAAUAAAUGAUGUGUCCAUCA